rnacentral:snRNA from 1 species
AUUGCUCCAUCAGCCAUAUACUGAAAAUUGGAAUGAUACAGAGAAGACUAGCAUGGCCCCUGCAUAAGGAUGACACUUACUCAUCCAGCACUUAUUU